rnacentral:lncRNA from 1 species
UUUCGCCUUCGCUCUUGCGACACCCAGUGAAUGCAUUUAUUUUCUCGCCCGUGCUUCUAACGGAAAACAAGGGAGGGGGGCCGCAGGGGAGGGGGAGGCUGCAGGAACCCCCGAAGGCGAUCCCGAUCCGGGCGGCGCGGACCCCGAGCAAAAGCCUCCUCCCCGCACCUACACCAUAAUCCCGGCCGGGGCUCCGCGAAGGGGGCAGCGCCGCGACCCGAGGCUCCCGCAGCCGCCAGCCCUGCCCGCCGGCGGCACAACAAUACCCGCACACGCGAGGCGGAGGCACCGGCCGCCCCACCAGCCCUGCUACUGCGCGCUCCCCGCUCGCCCAGCGGCCGCCCGGGCACCUUCCAGCAGCGGCAGCGGCGGCCGCCGCCCGUCCCGCGCCUCCUCCUCCUCCUCCUCCGCCGCCGAGGCCGAGGAGCCGGCGCGGCGACCCCCGCGCAUGGGGCGGGGGGGCGACGGCAGCGGAGCCGAGCGGGCCGCGCGGCUCUCGGCGGGCUCCGGCUGGGCGGCCGCCGCCCUGGCGAUGGGCAGAGCCGCCGCCUCCCUCCCGCCGGCCGCCCCCCGCCCGCGUCCCUCCCUCCCGCCCGGCCGCCUCCCUGCCUGCCUCCCGCUCUCCUCCCUCGCUCGCUGCGCGCAGCCCAGCCCGCCUCCCGCCGCCGCUCCGCCGCUCGUGCAGGAAAUGCGCAAAAGACUCACUGGGAAAGGGCUCUUGCGCAAGCUUUGAACUGACUUUACUAUCCGAAGAAGAAUGUCAGGCCAGCUCUUGUGUUCAGGAGGGCAGGUGGGGGAAUUCAAGGCAGUGUGAAGGAAGAGCCCAGCUGCCAGGACGCACUCAAAUGGCAGGAGAGGAGCAGUCUGAAACGUGGCGUCUGACAUGGAAGUGUGGAUGGAGCAGAGGUGUGGAAUUGGAUUCCUCCAUGAAGAAAAAAAAUGCACUCAUCAGUGCUUGCUGAACGUUUAUGGAGACCAAACAGUGGAUGUGAGCACAGUGAGGCAGUGGGUGGUGUGUUUCAGCAGUGGUGGCAACAACAGUGGGUCACCUCCACUGGCGCAUUGGCAGCGACAUGGAAGGAGCGGGCAAGCUGUAGGCAGCUCGUUACCUUGAGUCAGCCCCUGACCUUUCCAUGGCCCGUGAAUCCUCCGAGCUCUAUGGAGAAACAGCACUAUCUGGUGGAGGGAGUGUGUAAAGUCCUGUCAGCCACGGGCUGGGCUCAUUUGUUAGAGCUACAGUUGCAACUGCUCUAGCUGUGUUCUUGCCCAAAGUUGAUAGUUUCGCCGUGGUUUCCAGAGAUUAUUUUUUUUUCUUUUAACAGUGCGAAUGGCAAGUGAGUAUAUCCAGCUAAGUCUUUGUAAAACUGAUGCUUUCAUCAGUUUCUAUUGCUUACCUGAAGAAUUUUUUCACCCUCUGAGGAAUGUUGGUAUGUUUUCUGGAUUUUUCUAAGCACAGCAAUAUGAAAGAAAGAGAGAAAAAAAUGUUUAGGUUUAAUUUUAAAAGAAGUGUUCUUUAUUGAAGUUAUAUAAAGCAGAUGCGAGUGGAAUAAAAUCAAACUUGUGUGUAAGGAGAAAUUUUCAGAAACAUUUCAUGUCAAAAAAUGAAAUAAAACCCAGAACCCAGGUUAUGAAGUUGUGAAACUUUGGCUCUGAAUUGACUCUGGAUGUAAACGCAUUCAUAGAACCACAGGAUAUCCCGAGUUGGAAGGGACCCGUAAGAAUCAUUGAGUCCAACUCCUGGAUCAACACAGGAGCACCUAAAAAUCAGACCCUAUGUCUGAAAAGCAUAAUCUAUGUAAAAGCAUGUAUGAAAAGCACCACAUUGGUGAAGAUGUUGGCUAGUAUCAAUAUGUCCACUGAAUUCCAC